AUGGACCAUAGCCUUCCAGGCUCCUCUGUCCAUGGGAUUUCACAGGCAAGAAUACUGGAGUGGGUUGCUGUGCCCUCCAGGGGAUCUUCCCAACCCAGGGAUCGAAGCCAGGUCUCUUACGGUUACCUUCGUUGGCAGAAAGAAAAUCAAGUCUGUGGGAGACAAGCUCUCAGGAGGACCAAGCAACAGAAAUGAUGGCAACAACUACACCUUUUAUUAGAUUCUCAAAUAGAAUCAGACCACAUGAAACUGGAAGUCAUACAGAGAGACAAAUUACAUCUGGUCACAUUUGGGUGGGAAUCGAACUUUUCAGCUUCAGCUCUUGACCCUGUGUAGUUCUGUGAAAUCUCAUUUUCAGGCUCUGUUAGGGCAGCCCCUCGUUCUGAUUGUGUUUCUGAAAUAAGCACUCUGAGCUGGUCCUCUUCACUAAUGCCUCCUUCCCUCUCAGAGAAUUGUAUAAAGAAGGGGGAGCAAGUGAGCCAGUUAGGACCCACUCUCAUUAUCUUUUGAUUAUAGAAGUAACAUAUGGUCAUAGAUAAACAAACCAAAAAAAACCUUAAAAGUACAGGAAUGUAUAAAGAAAAGGGAAAUUACCUGGAAAUCCAUCUCCUCAACCCUAUUCUUUUCCUUUUAAAGAUUGUGGCUGAUGUCAAAGAAUCUCUUCUCCUCACCCUCUUGAUUCUUUUCCUUCUAAUUUGUUUUUAUUUUGAUGUGAAAGAAAUUCUAACCUAAUGGUUAUGGUGGUGGGGGAGGGUGGUUUUGGCUUCUACAGAAUAUGGCUGCAUGAAAUAAAGGUCAGGGCUUGAAAAUACCAAUUGUUCAUUCUUAUUUUAAAAGGGUAAACUGUAAGGCAGGGAAUAAGAUUUUAGGUACUCAUAUCCUAAUCCAGCUGUGUUUACAUGUGUUAGGGGGAUGGAUAGACAAGCGGUACAGUCGAAAUAAGACCAUUUUUGCAAAACUGCUUUGUUAACUAACAAGCUCUACAAAUAUGAGAUUAGCAUGAAUGUUGGUGCUGACUCCGGGGGAUGGUCUUGUGUGUUUAUCUGAACAGUUAGUAUCUGUCAGUGGGCCAUAGCACAAGCGACUGGCCAAAUGAUAUCCUGUGUCUCAGAUGUUCCAUCUAUUUGCAAUUCCAAAGCUUAUUUAAUUGCCUUCAGCUGCUUAAUAUAUACCUCAUCAGUAGGAUAGAGAAGCAGAACUUAGCCUUAGAGGAUAAAGGUCAGAACAAGUGUAGCUUACUACUGAUAUGCCCUGUUAAAUAGCCCACUCGAUGCAGGGAAUUGAAGAAGCAUACAAGAAAGCAUUACCCAGUACUGCCUUAAGUACAAUAGAGUGAGUGGCAGCACUCUAUAAACUGUUAAGCUGGGUAAUAAUGCAAAGGAUCGAUGUCAUCAUGACUGGGGAGAUUGGCUGUCACUCAGCGACUUAGCUGUGAUAUGCUUCCAGGCAAUUCCACAGGGCUUUUAUAAGCCCCUUUUCUGUACAUGUGCUAGAAAGUGCCACAGAAAUACAGUCUCCUGAUGACUGUAGAAGCCAGGCAGCAAAAUUUAAUCAGACAUUUGUCAAGAAGAUGGCAGAUAAUGACCAAUUUUUGGUAGACAGAUAGUUGUCUGCAGAAACAAAGCCUGUAUUGAACUAUUUUGGAGUGGGAAGAAGCAUUGCUAUGACAACAAAUUACUUAUAUUUGAUUUAGAAGAAGGAGAGGAGUGCAGCUUAAUGGUUUAGAAAGCUCGUGAGAACAAUUGUUGGCACUGGGUAUAUGUUAAAAUAUAAAAUGUUAAGUAUGAUCUGUUAAAUAAUUGAGCAUCUCAGUGCAUUCUGUUUCCAAUAUCUCUUGUGAACCAAUAAAAUACAACAUAAAUCAACUUCUAAAAA